GCCCCUGUGGCGGAAUUGGCAGACGCGAUAGAUUCAAAAUCUAUUGUCCUUAGGACGUCCCCGUUCGAGUCGGGGCAGGGGCACCA
rnacentral:tRNA from 3 species